UGUCCAGUAACUCCUAUCCCUACCUCCCCAUGGUGCCGCCUGGGGUACGAGUAACCCGAAGGGAAGCUCGGGUAAUCAACUCUGGUGGGACCUUGGUCGUAUGCUGAUAGGGGAGG
rnacentral:ribozyme from 1 species